CAUUGGGUUCUGGAAAACGGUCACAACUUUUUGGUGGCUGAAGGUAUCGAAAAGUGUAUAACUAUAACGUUGUUUAUUAUCACUCAACAAACAAUUUGUUAAUUUGCGUGGAUAGCAUGGUAAGACAGUGGAUUUCAAUGGUGUUCAAAGCUGAAAUUUCAAAACGUCAUAACUUUGCUGAAACGUGACGGGGGCAGCUAAUUUUUUCGGAGAGAUCAUAACUAACACUCUUCUAUCGGAAUUUCAAUAUGAAAACCCAAAUUCUACAGGCGCCUUCAAAGACUUCCCUUGUAAAUUAGAGUUGAUUGAGAAUAUAUACGUCUAACUUUCAAAGACUCAUAACUCUGUUGGCGUUUGAAUUAAUAAAAUGUGGUCAACUGAAAUGUUGUUGGCAAUAAUGUGACACACAUUAUGUUAGUAGGUCCCUUUCAGUUAUCUUCAGUGACUGUGAAGAUGUGAGCCCCAAAAGAUGGCCGAAAUAUUCUAGAUUUGGAGAUAUUCUAGCUCAACCAUAUCUCAGUUCUCGAUAAAGAUGAACUGAUACUUUCAACUAUGAAAACGUUUAUUGUUUUAAGCUCGACAAGGUUGUAGUUGCUGACUUUUUGAUACCUCAAUUCUAGAAUUAGAUACAUCCGUUUUAAAACAGGGUGUUUUAUUGUUCAGAGGUCCAAGGAAUGUCGGGUUUGGCUUAUCGAAAGCACCGAAUUUGGCAAGAAAAUGUAUGAAAGUAACCAAGUAAACAUAGUCCUACAUUAUCUAACCAGCCGCCUCCGGCUCGGCCAACGACUGGUGAAAUUUGAAAUGUUUGACACAUAUCCCUGAAUUGGAAUGCUGUAUGAAUUUUUUGGUUCACAACUAAUCAGAUAUUGAAAAAAAAACGUGCGAAUGUCGUUGUUUUCCUAGUUUGUUCUGAAAACAAUAUUAAGUAAAAAAUUUUGGUACAGUAGAACUACCAUGUUCAAAAAACGAAUUCAUUUUAGGAUAUCGCAUGGUAUUUUUUAAAUGAAAACUCUAAGAAACAUCAUAUGUUGAAACUACAUAAAUGUAAAAAUAUACCAAAACAGUAGUAAAUUAGAAAAUGUCAGCAAGUUAGUAAAUCUGAGUUCAAAGUAAAUGAACUAUUUCUUAGUAAAUGACUGAGAGUAAAAAAUGAGUAAAUUAGACCUUGAAGUAAAUGAACUCUUUUUCAGUAAACGAGAGAAAGUGAAAUCGCUAGUAAAUUAGACGUCGAAGUAAAUGUGCCACUUACGUAAACGAGUGAUUUAGUAAAUUAGACUAUUAGUUAAUGAGGGUUUGCCAAAUUUUCCUCCUUUGUUUCGAUGUGCUGGUUCUCUUUCUUGAGGGCUACAACGUACCCCGACAGACCGAUUCUGAUCUAUUGAUCAUCUGUGUGAUGUUCUUUCUUCUUACCCUUAUAUGGAAAAGAUCCAAAUCUUAAAAUCAGCGAUGAUGUUACUUUUAUCAUUCACUUCUCCCGUGAUUUUCAAUAAUUAUUAUUGUUGUUCGUCUAGCCUCCUGUCCUUAUCUUCCGUCUAUUUUCCGUCGCAGAAAUAUCUUUCUGAUCUCGUUUUGUUGUUGCAGUACCUUUUUGGAUGUUUCGCGAACUCAUUACUUUUUGCAAAUGUUCAAAGUAGUCACUGAAUAGCAAAAAAUAUUGAAAACUCUAAUUUGAAACUAUAAAACAAUAAUAUAUACAUUUUGAAGGUGGAGUAGUGCCAGUGGGGAUUUUGUCUAAAUACACUUAUAUCUAAAACGACCGAAAAUCAGGAUAAAACAAUCCAAAAAAUGUUUAGAUUGUCUAAUUUUUCAGUCAAAUUAGUUUUGCAUUCCAGAUUAUCCUAUCCAGUGUUAAGGGUUACGGGUCAAAGAAGUUUCGGAUUUGCUUUCUGAAUAGUAGAAGCAUGUUUUGAUAUUCAAAUUUCUCACUCAAACAUUUUCAGCAAAUACAGUCUAUUAAUACAAAUCUGAAACCGUAAUUGUUUUCUGGCACUAUUAUUGCAGAUCCCCCUCUCCAUAUUUGCCCUUACCGUAAUCUCUUUGUCCCUCUUCCUCUUCACGUGCAAUUCACUAAACGUCCCGAGAACGCUCACCAUUUUUCUUUGCUUCUCAACAGUCUCUCUGAAUUUUGUAACUCUCUUUGUUUCAACUAUUCCAUGUCUCUCUUUUACUACAACCAUCCUGUUUUCUCUAUUGAGAGGUUUUCUGUUUCUAUAAUGUUUGUCAACAUUUGCAAAUAAAUGUUGCUCAUUUCACCCAAAAGCUGCUUGUCUACUGCAAAAUCUCGUAGAGUUUAGUUUUCGACCAAUGAACAUAUUUUCGACAAGUGCCAACUUUAAGGAUACGUAAUUUCAUGUUUUCCUAGAAUUUCUCACAUAUGUAUAAAUCGUGUCGGAU
ensembl:lincRNA linc-157 ncRNA